CCCUUAGAUGUUCUGGGCUGCACGCGCGCUACACUGAUACUUUCAGCGAGUCCACCACCUUGCCUGGGAGGGUGGGGUAACCUCUGGAAAGUGCAUCGUGAUGGGGAUCGAUUAUUGUAAUUAUUAAUCUUCAACGAGGAAUUCCUAGUAAGUGCAAGUCAUCAGCUUGCGCUGAUUACGUCCCUGCCCUUUGUACACACCGCCCGUCGCCACUACCGAUUGGAUGGUCCGGUGAAGCCUCGGGAUUGUGGUUCUUGCCGCUUUAUUGUGGCGUGACCGCGAGAACUUGUCUAAACCUUAUCAUCUAGAGGAAGGUGAAGUCGUAACA
rnacentral:rRNA from 1 species